UACGGAGGGUGCAAGCAUUAAUCGGAAUUACUGGGCGUAAAGCGUGCGUAGACGGUUAUGUAAGUCAGGUGUGAAAGCCCCGGGCUCAACCUGGGAAUUGCAUUUGAGACUGCAUAGCUAGGGUGCGGAAGAGGGAAGCGGAAUUUCCGGUGUAGCGGUGAAAUGCGUAGAUAUCGGAAGGAACAUCAGUGGCGAAAGCGGCUUCCUGGUCCAGCACCGACGUUCAGGCACGAAAGCGUGGGGAGCAAACGGG
rnacentral:rRNA from 1 species